rnacentral:pre_miRNA from 1 species
AUCCACCCCGAUCCUCUCAAUAUAUAUAUAUAUAUAUAUAUAUAUAUAUAUAUAUUGAGAGGAUCGGGGUGGAU